rnacentral:rRNA from 1 species
UGGGGAAUAUUGCGCAAUGGGGGAAACCCUGACGCAGCAACGCCGCGUGAAUGAUGAAGGCCUUCGGGUUGUAAAGUUCUGUCUUCUGGGACGAUAAUGACGGUACCAGAGGAGGAAGCCACGGCUAACUACGUGCCAGCAGCCGCGGUAAUACGUAGGUGGCAAGCGUUGUCCGGAUUUACUGGGCGUAAAGGAUGCGUAGGCGGACAUUUAAGUCAGAUGUGAAAUACCCGAGCUUAACUUGGGUGCUGCAUUUGAAACUGGGUGUCUAGAGUGCAGGAGAGGUAAGUGGAAUUCCUAGUGUAGCGGUGAAAUGCGUAGAGAUUAGGAAGAACACCAGUGGCGAAGGCGACUUACUGGACUGUAACUGACGCUGAGGCAUGAAAGCGUGGGGAGCAAACAGGAUUAGAUACCCCCGUAGUCC